rnacentral:rRNA from 1 species
UACGGAGGGGGCUAGCGUUGCUCGGAAUCACUGGGCGUAAAGCGCACGUAGGCGGAUUUCUAAGUCAGGGGUGAAAUCCUGGAGCUCAACUCCAGAACUGCCUUUGAUACUGGGAAUCUCGAGUCCGGGAGAGGUGAGUGGAACUGCGAGUGUAGAGGUGAAAUUCGUAGAUAUUCGCAAGAACACCAGUGGCGAAGGCGGCUCACUGGCCCGGUACUGACGCUGAGGUGCGAAAGCGUGGGGAGCAAACAGG